GACGAACGCUGGCGGCGUGCUUAACACAUGCAAGUCGAACGGAAAGGCCUGCUUUCCCUUGUGGAUUGCGGGUACUCGAGUGGCGAACGGGUGAGUAACACGUGAGUGAUCUGCCCCCAACUUGGGUAUAAGCCUGGGAAACUGGGUCUAAUUCCCGAUAGGACUGCAGGGUGGUGCCUGUGGUGGAACACGAUUUUCUAGUGGUUGGGGAUGAGCUCGCGGCCUAUCAGCUUGUUGGUGGGGUAAUGGCCUACCAAGGCGGCGACGGGUAGCCGGCCUGAGAGGGUGGACGGGCACAUUGGGACUGAGAUACGGCCCAGACUCCGACGGGAGGCAGCAGUGGGGAAGAUUGCAAAAUGGGCGGAAGCCUGAUGCAGCGACGCAGCGUGGGGGAUGACGGCCUUCGGGUUGUAAACUCCUUUCGACCGCGAGGAAGCCACCUGGUUGGAAGGGUGGUGACGGUAGUGGUAGAAGAAGCACCGGCUAACUACGUG
rnacentral:rRNA from 1 species